UUUGGUUAAGUUAGAAAGGGCGCACGGUGGAUGCCUUGACACUAGGAGUCGAUGAAGGACGGGACUAACGCCGAUAUGCUUCGGGGAGCUGUAAGUAAGCUUUGAUCCGAAGAUUUCCGAAUGGGGAAACCCACCAUACGUAAUGGUAUGGUAUCCUUAUCUGAAUACAUAGGGUAAGGAAGACAGACCCAGGGAACUGAAACAUCUAAGUACCUGGAGGAAGAGAAAGCAAAUGCGAUUUCCUGAGUAGCGGCGAGCGAAACGGAACAUAGCCCAAACCAAGAGGCUUGCCUCUUGGGGUUGUAGGACAUUCUAUACGGAGUUACAAAGGAACGAGGUAGACGAAGCGACCUGGAAAGGUCCGUCGUAGAGGGUAACAACCCCGUAGUCGAAACUUCGUUCUCUCUUGAAUGUAUCCUGAGUACGGCGGAACACGUGAAAUUCCGUCGGAAUCUGGGAGGACCAUCUCCCAAGGCUAAAUACUCCCUAGUGAUCGAUAGUGAACCAGUACCGUGAGGGGAAAGGUGAAAAGCACCCCGGAAGGGGAGUGAAAGAGAUCCUGAAACCGUGUGCCUACAAAUAGUCAGAGCCCGUUAAUGGGUGAUGGCGUGCCUUUGUAGAAUGAACCGGCGAGUUACGAUCCCGUGCGAGGUUAAGCUGAAGAGGCGGAGCCGCAGCGAAAGCGAGUCUGAAUAGGGCGUUUAGUACGUGGUCGUAGACCCGAAACCAGGUGAUCUACCCAUGUCCAGGGUGAAGUUCAGGUAACACUGAAUGGAGGCCCGAACCCACGCACGUUGAAAAGUGCGGGGAUGAGGUGUGGGUAGCGGAGAAAUUCCAAUCGAACCUGGAGAUAGCUGGUUCUCCCCCGAAAUAGCUUUAGGGCUAGCCUUAAGUGUAAGAGUCUUGGAGGUAGAGCACUGAUUGGACUAGGGGUCCCUCAUCGGAUUACCGAAUUCAGUCAAACUCCGAAUGCCAAUGACUUAUCCUUAGGAGUCAGACUGCGAGUGAUAAGAUCCGUAGUCAAAAGGGGAAACAGCCCAGACCGCCAGCUAAGGUCCCAAAGUGUGUAUUAAGUGGAAAAGGAUGUGGAGUUGCUUAGACAACUAGGAUGUUGGCUUAGAAGCAGCCACCAUUUAAAGAGUGCGUAAUAGCUCACUAGUCGAGUGACUCUGCGCCGAAAAUGUACCGGGGCUAAAUACACCACCGAAGCUGCGGAUUGAUACCAAUGGUAUCAGUGGUAGGGGAGCGUUCUAAGGACAGUGAAGUCAGACCGGAAGGACUGGUGGAGUGCUUAGAAGUGAGAAUGCCGGUAUGAGUAGCGAAAGACGGGUGAGAAUCCCGUCCACCGAAUGCCUAAGGUUUCCUGAGGAAGGCUCGUCCGCUCAGGGUUAGUCAGGACCUAAGCCGAGGCCGACAGGCGUAGGCGAUGGACAACAGGUUGAUAUUCCUGUACCACCUCUUUAUCGUUUGAGCAAUGGAGGGACGCAGAAGGAUAGAAGAAGCGUGCGAUUGGUUGUGCACGUCCAAGCAGUUAGGCUGAUAAGUAGGCAAAUCCGCUUAUCGUGAAGGCUGAGCUGUGAUGGGGAAGCUCCUUAUGGAGCGAAGUCUUUGAUUCCCCGCUGCCAAGAAAAGCUUCUAGCGAGAUAAAAGGUGCCUGUACCGCAAACCGACACAGGUAGGCGAGGAGAGAAUCCUAAGGUGUGCGAGAGAACUCUGGUUAAGGAACUCGGCAAAAUGACCCCGUAACUUCGGGAGAAGGGGUGCUUUCUUAACGGAAAGCCGCAGUGAAUAGGCCCAAGCGACUGUUUAGCAAAAACACAGCUCUCUGCGAAGCCGUAAGGCGAAGUAUAGGGGGUGACACCUGCCCGGUGCUGGAAGGUUAAGGAGAGGGGUUAGCGUAAGCGAAGCUCUGAACUGAAGCCCCAGUAAACGGCGGCCGUAACUAUAACGGUCCUAAGGUAGCGAAAUUCCCUUGUCGGGUAAGUUCCGACCCGCACGAAAGGUGUAACGAUUUGGGCACUGUCUCAACCAGAGACUCGGUGAAAUUAUAGUACCUGUGAAGAUGCAGGUUACCCGCGACAGGACGGAAAGACCCCGUGGAGCUUUACUGUAGCCUGAUAUUGAAUUUUGGUACAGUUUGUACAGGAUAGGCGGGAGCCAUUGAAACCGGAGCGCUAGCUUCGGUGGAGGCGCUGGUGGGAUACCGCCCUGACUGUAUUGAAAUUCUAACCUACGGGUCUUAUCGACCCGGGAGACAGUGUCAGGUGGGCAGUUUGACUGGGGCGGUCGCCUCCUAAAGUGUAACGGAGGCGCCCAAAGGUUCCCCUCAGAAUGGUUGGAAAUCAUUCGUAGAGUGCAAAGGCAUAAGGGAGCUUGACUGCGAGACCUACAAGUCGAGCAGGGACGAAAGUCGGGCUUAGUGAUCCGGUGGUUCCGCAUGGAAGGGCCAUCGCUCAACGGAUAAAAGCUACCCCGGGGAUAACAGGCUUAUCUCCCCCAAGAGUCCACAUCGACGGGGAGGUUUGGCACCUCGAUGUCGGCUCAUCGCAUCCUGGGGCUGUAGUCGGUCCCAAGGGUUGGGCUGUUCGCCCAUUAAAGCGGUACGCGAGCUGGGUUCAGAACGUCGUGAGACAGUUCGGUCCCUAUCCGUCGUGGGCGUAGGAAAUUUGAGAGGAGCUGUCCUUAGUACGAGAGGACCGGGAUGGACGCACCGCUGGUGUACCAGUUGUUCUGCCAAGGGCAUAGCUGGGUAGCUAUGUGCGGAAGGGAUAAGUGCUGAAAGCAUCUAAGCAUGAAGCCCCCCUCAAGAUGAGAUUUCCCAUAGCGUAAGCUAGUAAGAUCCCCUGAAAGAUGAUCAGGUUGAUAGGUUCGAGGUGGAAGCAUGGUGACAUGUGGAGCUGACGAAUACUAAUAGAUCGAGGACUUAACCAUAUAA
rnacentral:rRNA from 1 species